CCGGCCUCGUCAGGAGAGAGACGGGAGGCGGCGAGGACGUCCCGGGGAGCCCCGGGGCCCGGAGCGGGGCCGGGCACGGCCAGAGAGGCGCAGCGGGGACGGGGCUGCCGCGUCCUGACAGGAGCCGAGCGCAGCAGGUGCUGCUGGCCUUGGCACCGGAGGAGCGACGGUAGCGCCUACGGCCGCUUUCGUCCGGCGGGGUGAGUCGUACCCAGCUCUGGGCUGCGGGCUGCGGGGUGCUGGUGGUACUGGUGGUGAUGGUCCUGAUGGUACUGGUACUGCUGGUGGCGGUACUGGUACUGCUGGUACAUCUGGUGGUGGUGGUGCUGCCAGGGGCGGGCGCUGGAAAGCCGUUUUGUCGAGUAGGAGGGACCUCAUGUGGCCUCGUACUUCGUUAUUUUACUGCUUGUUCUGCUGCAAAUUAUUAUGCAAAUCCUUACAAUUUGUGUAAACUCUGAUCGGGUGAACAGAGAAAAAUGUAAUGGUGUGGAGCAUUAGAUAGGCAAGAAUACACACAGUAUUGAAUGUAUUAAAAUAUUCAAAUACAUAUUAAAAAUGUAAUUCCUAGUAGAAAUGUAUGACCUUAUAUGAAUCCAAAUAAUAAUAAUAAAAAAAACACACCAGAGGUUUGAGUAUUUUAGGUUUUAUACAAAUAAUCUAACCUGUAUUCUUUAUUGAUUGAGGACCUGCAUAAAAAGGAAUUUAGAUAAUGUUGUAAAACACUAGGGUUUUCUUCAUACAGUGUAUACAAUUCAGGCUGUAAGCUCUCUGAAGUUAGUAGGUUUUUCAUAUCUUCUUAUGACUGGCACAACCUCAGGAUCUACUGAACCAGGUGGGACGGACUACAUCACUCAGACAAAGCUGUAAACUCAGACUGACAACUCGUAGUAUCAUUUUAGAUCAGACCAUGUUCUUGUUUGUAAAGCAAACAACCCCACCCCAAUGCCCCCAAAUAAAUGCCCCCAAGUAAAUGCUUCAGCUCCAGAAAACACUCCAAUACCUAACACAAACAAGGAUAUAGCCAGCUUUUGCUUUUGUUUUAGCGGUGCUGCUAUACACAUAAGCAGGACUAUCUUCCCUUUCCCUAAACUGUAUUUUCUUUUGAAUUACCAAACAUCGCUAAAGUAAUUGUGAGGUAUCACUGCAAAAAAGACAAGAUCAUCUUGCUCGGUAAGUUUAAUCUCAUACAAACCAUGUAAGAAGACUUAAAAACAAAACAAAACAAAACAAAAAAAAAAAAAAACACACAAACACAAUACCAAACAGUCCCCUCAACAAACCUUUCAGGCCACAAUUGUUCAGUCUUGACUGACUGAGCCUCUCUAUGAAGAAAUAAAUCUGUUUUGCUUAACUCCUGGUUACAACUCCUUAAAGAAAAAUAUUUGAAUAAUUAUGAGUAUGUCUAAGAUCAUCUGUAUGUUCAGUUCUGCAAUGAUGAGGAAUCAUUUUGUGAUGACAAGUCCGUCAAAUUUCUAAUCCCUAAAUUGGAACAAUGCAUAAAUUAAUGAUCUAAUACAUGGAUUAAAGUAAAUACUAGUUUCAACAUGAAGUUAAAUGCCUCAUAGUGCAAUCCAGGAAAUCUCAUUUCAGUAACAUAGGAAAUGGAGGACUAUUGCUCUUUCUUCUUUUUUUUUUUUUUUUUUAAACAUGUGCUUUAUUAUUUGGAAGUCUCAUACAUCUAAAGUACCAUUAUAAGGAGCACCUGUAGGAAAAUCAAACCUAGAAGCAUGCACUUGAAAGUAAGGAUUGUCUGUUAUUAAUCAAAUAUUUCAUAGACAUUGAAAAUAAACCCCCUUUCUUAGCUUUACAGGAUUGAUCCACAAAAUGCACAUCUACCUUAUCACAGUACAUACAAAUAUUGUGGAUGGACAAUAGAAAUCACCACCCUUCCAUAUGAGAUGCAUCAAGAACAAAGUGUUAUUUCUUAUAAUGUCAGAAACAUAAAAGGCACCAUAAUAGAAUGUUUAGAA